rfam:Aedes albopictus isolate Foshan contig32930, whole genome shotgun sequence.
UAGCCUAGUGGUUAAGGCGAUGGAUCGCCAAUCCGGAGACGGCGGGUUCGAUUCCCGU